rnacentral:rRNA from 1 species
UACGUAGGGUGCGAGCGUUAAUCGGAAUUACUGGGCGUAAAGCGUGCGCAGGCGGUUUUGUAAGCCAGAUGUGAAAUCCCCGGGCUUAACCUGGGAAUGGCAUUUGGGACUGCAAGUCUCGAGUGCGGCAGAGGAGACUGGAAUUCCUGGUGUAGCAGUGAAAUGCGUAGAUAUCAGGAGGAACACCGAUGGCGAAGGCAGGUCUCUGGGCUGACACUGACGCUCAUGCACGAAAGCGUGGGGAGCAAACAGG